CCUACGGGCGGCUGCAGUGGGGAAUAUUGGACAAUGGGCGAAAGCCUGAUCCAGCCAUGCCGCGUGUGUGAAGAAGGCCUUCGGGUUGUAAAGCACUUUCAGUGGGGAAGAAAGCCUUGGGGCUAAUACCCUCGAGGAAGGACAUCACCCACAGAAGAAGCACCGGCUAACUCCGUGCCAGCAGCCGCGGUAAUACGGAGGGUGCGAGCGUUAAUCGGAAUUACUGGGCGUAAAGCGCGCGUAGGCGGUCUGAUAAGCCGGUUGUGAAAGCCCCGGGCUCAACCUGGGAACGGCAUCCGGAACUGUCAUGCUAGAGUGCAGGAGAGGAAGGUAGAAUUCCCGGUGUAGCGGUGAAAUGCGUAGAGAUCGGGAGGAAUACCAGUGGCGAAGGCGGCCUUCUGGACUGACACUGACGCUGAGGUGCGAAAGCGUGGGUAGCAAACAGGAUUAGAUACCCUGGUAGUC
rnacentral:rRNA from 1 species